CCUACGGGAGGCAGCAGUGAGGAAUAUUGGUCAAUGGGCGGAAGCCUGAACCAGCCAAGUCGCGUGAGGGAUUAAGGCCCUGCGGGUCGUAAACCUCUUUUGCCGGGGAGUAGAGGUCCGGACGUGUCCGGGCCGGGAGAGUACCCGGAGAAAAAGCAUCGGCUAACUCCGUGCCAGCAGCCGCGGUAAUACGGAGGAUGCGAGCGUUAUCCGGAUUUAUUGGGUUUAAAGGGUGCGUGAGCGAGCAUUUAAGCCGGCGGUCAAAUGUCGGGGCGCAACCCCGGCCUGCCGUCGGAACUGGGUGCCUUGAGUGGGCGAGAAGUAUGCGGAAUGCGUGGUGUAGCGGUGAAAUGCAUAGAUAUCACGCAGAACCCCGAUUGCGAAGGCAGCAUACCGGCGCCCUACUGACGCUGAGGCACGAAAGUGCGGGUAUCGAACAGGAUUAGAUACCCCAGUAGUC
rnacentral:rRNA from 1 species